rnacentral:rRNA from 1 species
AUGCUGUUCCAGGUGGGAGGGCAGGGCGCACGGCCCACCUUCUUCGAGAUGUCCGCGGCGCAGCAGCUCCCGGCCAGCCUCCGCGCGGCGCUCUCCUACUCGUUCGGGGUUUUUGCACUAAGGAGGCCAUCCUUGCAUAAAGUUUUAGAUUAUGAAGAUGAAUUCUUUGCUUUGUUAAUGUCUGUUCUUGAGUCCCAUAGUCUACGAACAACAGAUGGUUCCUUUUCAGAGUCGUUAUAUGGUCUCAGGCGGAGGCCUGUUAACGUUUCUGUGAACAGAAGUAGUCCUGGUGCAGAAUCUAAUGUCAAAGUCUAUGACUCUGCACUAAGGAAGCGCCAGAAAACCCUCUCUGUUAUAUUUUUGGUUGUUUUACCGUAUUUCAAGUCAAAGUUGCAGUCUGUAUAUAACAAAGAAAGAGAAGCAAGAUUGCAGGCAAGCCUAUGGGAUCAGGGUGAGGUUAGAUUCGACGAAGCUGGCUUUGUAUCAGAUCAACAAGGGGAGACUUCUCAAGCACAAGUUGGGACUACAGCUGGAGAAGUGUCACAUCUCACACGCCUUAGGACCAAUUUUGCAGCACUAAUAGGUGUUUGUUAUCCAUGGAUUCAUGCGACUCAUGAAGGCCUUUCAUUUGCUUACCAGUUGCUGUAUUUGUUGGAUGCUACUGCAUUUUACAGUCCAGGACUUCAUGUGCUUGGGCUUCAUGUUUGUCGUGCUACUGGACAAGAGCUGAUGGAUUCAUCUUCUAGGAUAUCAAGAAUUAGAAGUCGUGAACUCGAGAGACUUCGUGGUCCUCCAUGGUUAAAGACUGUCCAGAGGGUGCUCCUUAAUUGUACGUACACGACUCUAGAUUAUGCACAAACUGGUUUAAUUGCUGCGGUCUUCUUUUUCAAGAUGAUGGAGUGGUGGUAUCAAUCUGCUGAAGAAAGAAUGUCAGCUCCGACUGUAUACCCCCCACCUCCUCCGCCGCCGCUACCAAAGGUUGCUAAAGAUGGACUUCCCUUGCCAACUGACAGGACGCUGUGCCCUCUGUGCUGCCAAAAGCGCAACAACCCGUCUGUUCUUUCUGUUUCUGGUUUUGUGUUCUGCUACAGUUGCAUAUUCAAGUCUGUCUCUCAGCAUAAAAGAUGUCCCGUGACGUUGAUGCCUGCCACUGUUGAGCAAAUCAGGCGCCUCUUCCAUGAUUUAUAG